GACGAACGCUGGCGGCGUGCUUAACACAUGCAAGUCGAACGGAAAGGCCCUGCUUUUGUGGGGUGCUCGAGUGGCGAACGGGUGAGUAACACGUGUGUAACCUGCCCUUGACUUUGGGAUAACUUCAGGAAACUGGGGCUAAUACCGCAUACGACCUCCUGCUGCAUGGUGGGGGUUGGAAAGUUUCGGCGGUUGGGGAUGGACUCGCGGCUUAUCUGCUUGUUGGUGGGGUAGUGGCUUACCAAGGCUUUGACGGGUAGCCGGCCUGUGAGGGUGACCGGCCACAUUGGGACUGAGAUACGGGCCAGAGUGCUACGGGAGGCAGCAGUGGGGAAUAUUGCACAAUGGGCGGAAGCGUGAUGCAGCAACGCCGCGUGCGGGAUGACGGCCUUCGGGUUGUAAACCGCUUUCGCCUGUGACGAAGCGAGAGUGACGGUAAUGGGUAAAGAAGCACCGGCUAACUACGUG
rnacentral:rRNA from 1 species